GGGGGGGAGGUUAGGGAGGCUUUUUAAUAAUAAUUGUAAAAAAUGUAUUUAAUAAAAUGACUAUAUUUAUGUCCCCCCUCCUUUUUUACCUUUACUGGGAGGAGGGGGGACAUUUCUCCAUCUCUGGUGGUCCGGUGGGGAUUCCCUGGUGGUCCCAGUGGUGGUGAGGUGAACUCUAGCCCGCACUCCAGGGCUAGAGUUCAUUCUCGCGAGAUUUGGAGCGUUGCCGUGGUAGAGAGGCUGAGCUCCCGGGUCCUCUCUCCCUCUCUCCCCUGCCGGCUGCCAGCACAGUGCAUGCGGACC